AGAGAAGUCUCGCUCUCGCAUAGUACCCCCUUCGAAAACCAAAGCUGAGAGAGAAAAAAGCACACGAACGCACAAAAAAAAACCAGAGCGAUAUACAAAAUUCCCAAAAAUUUAAAAAGAGAAAGGACUUUUUGGAGAGAACACUCAGAGGAUUACAGAGAAUCUAUUUCAUGUCCUCAUGGUUGACAUUAGCACCCAAGCCUUUAUUUCCAGGGCUAAUUCCCCUCGUUUAGAUUGAGCUAUUGGUCCACUACUCCAAAACCCUAGGAGAGAGAAAGUGUUGCAACUGAGGGACGCUUCUUAAUUGUCUCUCUGCUGUGCCCUAGCUUCCCAAUUCUGUGUCUGAAUUGAUGGGAGGGGAA
rnacentral:misc_RNA from 1 species